UACAGAGGGGGCAAGCGUUGUUCGGAAUUACUGGGCGUAAAGAGCGUGUAGGCGGUCCGAUAAGUCGGCUGUGAAAGUCAAGGGCUCAACCCUUGGAUGCCGGCCGAUACUGUCGGGCUAGAGUCCGGAAGAGGCGAGUGGAAUUCCUGGUGUAGCGGUGAAAUGCGUAGAUAUCUGGAGGAACACCGGUGGCGAAGGCGGCAUCCUGGACCAACACUGACGCUGAGGAGCGAAAGCCAGGGGAGCAAACGGG
rnacentral:rRNA from 1 species